rnacentral:rRNA from 1 species
CAGUAGCCACGGUAAAACAGAGGAGGCAAGCGUUAUCCAGAAUGAUUGGGCGUAAAGCAUCUUUAGGUGGCUUUUCAAGUCCGCUGUCAAAUCCCAGGGCUCAACCCUGGACAGGCGGUGGAAACUACCAAGCUAGAGUACGGUAGGGGCAGAGGGAAUUUCCGGUGGAGCGGUGAAAUGCGUUGAGAUCGAAAAGAACACCAACGACGAAAGCACUCUGCUGGGUCGACACUGACACUGAGAGACGAAAGCUAGGGGAGCAAAUGGGAUUAGAUACCCCCGUAGUCCCUGUCUCUUAUAC